AAACUUGCAAGGCAGAACGACCCGUGAAUCGUUUAGAACUCACUGGAGGGGCGGGCCUAUGUGCCCACCGCUCUCGCUGCCCCAAGGCUGGAGUUGCGGGUCAAGCCUCCAUCCCUAGCUGUGGGUGCAGACAACAAACCCCGGCGCAAAUCGCGCCAAGGAAUAAGAAAGAGAGGCGUGCUCCCUUGGUCCCUGAAACGGUGCACCAGGGACUGCGUCGUCAUCAUCCUAUUCGAAACGACUCUCGGCAACGGAUAUCUCGGCUCUCGCAUCGAUGAAGAACGUAGCGAAAUGCGAUACUUGGUGUGAAUUGCAGAAUCCCGUGAACCAUCGAGUUUUUGAACGCAAGUUGCGCCCGAAGCCGUUAGGCCGAGGGCACGCCUGCCUGGGUGUCACAAAAUGUCGCCAAACUUUACUUCACCCCGUGGGAAAGCAUCGAGGGAUGGCGGAAAUUGGCCUCCCGUGCGCAGUGGCUCGCGGUUCGCCUAAAAGAGAGUCCCCCUAGCGAGGUGGCCACGACACGCGGUGGUAGAAAGCACAUGCUCUCCCCGAACACCGUCGUGGGCGAGCCUCGUCCAGGGGGGAUGCCAAGGGCCCCGACGCAUAGCGUCUCUCGC
rnacentral:rRNA from 1 species